rnacentral:misc_RNA from 2 species
AAGUCGUAACAAGGUUUCCGUAGGUGAACCUGCGGAAGGAUCACUAAAGUAAACGCCCUCCGGGGCUCUCUUUAUUCACACACCCCUGUGCACUUUGGCCACCUGCCGCGCUUCACUGCGUUAGUAGGUGUGUCUUUAUAAUUAUACCCAUAUACACAAGUCAUUGAAUGUAAAAUCGUUAUAAACUAAUAUAACUUUCAACAACGGAUCUCUUGGUUCUC